GCUAGGAUGAACGCUGGCGGCGUGCUUAACACAUGCAAGUCGAACGGAUCAUGGAGGAAAGCUUCGGCCGGAAUCCAUGGUAGUGGCGGACGGGUGAGUAACGCGUGGGUAACCUGCCUCACACUGGGGGACAACGAUUGGAAACGAUCGCUAAUACCGCAUAAGACCACGGCACCGCAUGGUGCAGGGGUAAAAAACUCCGGUGGUGUGAGAUGGACCCGCGUCUGAUUAGCCAGUUGGCGGGGUAACGGCCCACCAAAGCAACGAUCAGUAGCCGACCUGAGAGGGUGAUCGGCCACAUUGGGACUGAGACACGGCCCAAACUCCUACGGGAGGCAGCAGUGGGGAAUAUUGCACAAUGGGGGAAACCCUGAUGCAAGCGACGCCGCGUGAGUGAAGAAGUAUUUCGGUAUGUAAAGCUCUUUAAGCAGGAAAGAUAAUGACGGUACCUGCAGAAUAAGCACCGGCUAAAUACGUGCCAGCAGCCGC
rnacentral:rRNA from 1 species